UGUGCGGAAGCACCUGAGGUG
rnacentral:misc_RNA from 1 species